CUGUGAGCUGUGGCCCUAAAGCCGUCCACCAGCUCGCAGCCCUCCAGUUGAUUUCUUCAGUCAGCCAAGUUUAAGAAGCUCAGCACAGCUCUGGGGCGCCCAGCCCUGGCCAGGAAGUGAUCAGCACUACGACUGUCUACUGCAGGAGGGACAAGGACACAAGUGGGUUCCUGGAAAGGCCAGAGUUAAUGACCAGAGCCAGGGAUGCUGGCACGGGAAGCACUCCUUACCCAUCCCACACCGGGGUGAGCCACACAGAGCCACUACCGACAGCUUCAGUGCCCCAGGAAGUGCCACAAGCGAGUCCAGAUAGACCUGAGUGGCUCUCGGUGAGUGACACUUGGUGAGGUCUGCUGCUGGGAACCAGCUUCAAGUUGUCUGUCAUGAAACUCCCAAGAAUCCAGACGAGCUGCAGUCAGCUUGCUGAGGACGCAGCACCAU